UUUUUAUUAUGCUAUAAAUGGAUACAAAUUAAAUCAUUAUUAAAACAUACAUAUAGAUUGCAUAUGAGUUUAGAGAAAAUGAUAAAAUUAUUUAUAUUGAUCAUAUAUGUCUUUUGCCUAUUCAUAUUUCUGGGAAUCAAAUUGGAGAUUCGGAGUAGUUUGUGAAUCAAACAUAACAAAUUAAUUUCCCAUCAGAGAUACAUAUUCAAAUCAACAUAUUCUUUUGUAAUAUAUGAGUUAAAAGAGAAAAUGGAAAAUUAUGGCUAAUUUAGUUUGCACACAAUACGGUCUAUUCCAUCAUUCAUCAAAAAAUCACUAAUGAUACGAAGCUAUAGAUUUAGAAACAACGUCAAAAACCCAUGGUCAAAUCAUUAUUCAAAUGAGUUUUUAUUGAAAAUCCAUCUAAUAAACACAUGGAGUAUAAUUGAACCUAAUUUUGACAACAUCAUUUAGAUUAAGGCCACGUGUAUAUAUAAAUUGUGUUUACAAUUAUACAAUUGGACAUGAUCAAUAGACAGAGGAUACUUUAUAACUCACGAGUUCCUUUGAGUUUGAGCCAACAGUAGAAUGCGAUUUUUUCUUGGGCGAAGAAGAGAAUACAUUAGAGAAUUCUGUAACAGAAUUAUAUCUUCGAUAAUCAAUUUUCUCUCCAUAAUCAUCAACUCUUGAAUGAGAAGCUGGUUCUCCAUGGUAGGUGUAGUACCCUUGAUCGAUUUCAUGGUAAAAAUCGUUGUUACGUAGAGCACAUCCUGAUGAAAGACAUUUAUAUUUUCUGCGACUUUUUGUUUUUCUUAUUACUCUGAAAAUCAUAGGCAGAAGACCCUCCAUAAUAUGUAUCACAAUUCACAACCUUAAUUCCUUCCUUUUUGUUCUUGAAGAAUAAUAAGCACAGAGAGAGAUAGAAUGUUGGUUUUUGAAGAUUUUUAAAUGGAUAAUUAUAGGCACUUGUUGGGUUAGGUGAGUUUCGAUUUUAUUAUUUUUAUACAAGUAUAAAUUUAUAUAUGAAUGUGUUAUAUGGUGACAUGUUUUGUGUGCUAAAAAAACAAUGAAGCAUAUUAAUUUAGUUAAUAUGAGUUUUGACUGGGCUAGCAGGGCAAUGCGCAUGCCAAUGAAACCAAUCCGAAUGCUGUUCUAAGGAAGAAGUUGCCCAAGUUAGUUAUUUUUAGGACAAUUUGACUUUUUAUUUGGUCUAUCUGUAAAUGACAUAUUUGUGAUGUCUACAUGUAAACAACUAUGCUUUUAAUUUAUUCCUAACCUCAUUAUUCCUCAAAAAGACUUUUACCCCUGAAAGUUAGUGGUUAUGAUCUGGAUUCUAGAAGAAGGUCUUUACAUCAACUAAUUACCGUGGGCGCAAAACUGCAUCUGAAACGUAAUCAACAUGAAUGGAUAAGUGAAGUUUUUCUCACUCGAUGAUGAACUGAUAAAAACACAAACUAAUAAUAUAGGUGAAGAUGCCAACAUAACAAUAUCAAUAUUACUAGAUAAGCUAAGUUUCACACACAAUAAAGUUUAGAAAGUUAAUGUCACUUUUUGGUUAAGUGGUAAAACUGAAGGUGGGAAAAACACAAGAAGGGGGGUUGAAUUGUGUUUUCUUUUUCUCAAUAUAAAAUCUUCUUCUUGAGAUCACUUCAGAAGCUGUUUAAGAAUGCUUCUGAUGUGAUAACACUUCAGAUGCAAUGGAUUUGCUUCUGAUGUGCAAUUCAGAAUUGGAUACGCAGCGGAGUAAAAACAGAGUGAGAGAGAAGAAAGAAAGACACAAACAAUUAUACUGGUUCCUUCCACAAACCGGAAGUAGUCCAGUCCCCCUUGCACUUCUAAGGAGAGUUCCAUUAAGUUUAAUCACAACUGAUUACAACUGCUCAAUACUACACCUAGUAUGAGACUUCAAAAUUGCUCAAGCACGCAGGCAAGAGACUUCCUUUGCUCAAGCACUAAAGCAAGAGACUUCCUAUGCUCAAGCACUAAAGCAAGAGACUUCUAUUCAAACAGAAUUACACAGAAAAUUGUUUGAGUUUGAACACUUGAUAUACAAUCAGUGAUGUUCACAGUACAAUGCAAUUGAAAGACUCUCUAGACUUAAGAAUUUCUAAGAUAUAUCAAAUGAACACAGAAAUUCAAAGUGCUUUUGUGUGAAACAAAUUUGGCAGAGUUUGGGCGCUUUUUUUACUAGUUGUCUGGUCACACUGAUCUUCAAGUCUUCACUCCUUUAUAUAGAGGUGUGAGAGAGUCGUUGAGAUCUUUAAGCACAUCAAUAGAGUCGUUGUGAAACCUUGAUCAAUCACCAAUGAUCUUUUGUCUGAUUUGGAUGUUGUCCUAAGAAGAAUUACGUUCAAAUCCAUUCCUAUCUUGAAGGAACAUUUCUGCAGGCAGAGCUGUUUUUCUUGUCUUGUAGCGUAGACACAGUCAGAGUCGUGGAGGUAGUGGUUGUACACUUUGUACUUUGUCAACUCUCAUUGAAGGACAAGCACCCAAUGCUUUUCAAAUGAACCGUUGCCACCUUCCCUUUAGUCUUUCGUUUUCUUAGACGAGGUUGAAUCUUCUGAUCAACUUCAGUUUCUGGUGAUAUACAGCUUCUGAUCAAAUUGGCUUCUGAAGGACUCGCUUAUGAUAAACUCGCUUUUGAUGACGUCAUCAGAUGCAUUUUGGUUUCAGAAGCACUUUCAACUUCAGAGGCAGAUUUCUUCAGAUGCUUUAGGUUUCUCUUCUUGUUGAUUCCUUUGCUCUCUUUUGUUCUUCCAAGACCUAUUAAAUUUGAUCAACUUUGUCUAUGGUCCUGUACACUUGAACAAAUAUUAGCAAUAUCCAAUUGACAAUUUUUAAUACCUUAUUAUCAUCAAAACUUAUUAAGGUUUAUUGUAAAACAUAUUUUGUUCCAACAAAAACAACAAUCCUUAGACUCGAAAAUCACAGGUUCGAGCCUUGUCCAUUAUUGCCGCCUCUCUUAGCCACGCUUUCAAAAUUCAAAGCCCUGCAUAUCACAUUGGAGUUGAGAUACCUACUUCUGGGACAUUAGUUAAGGAAAUAAAAAUAAUAAAUUUUACAUUGAAAACAAUAUCUUCUAUUGUACAUUUUUUAGUAUUUAAUUACACAAAUUCUCAAAAAAAAAUUACUAUACUUGUUUCUUUAACUAAUAUCCAUAUCCUAGAGAUAAUAGUUAGCAUUUUCCAUAAAUUAAUUAACCUCUCUAAUUGAUCAACAGUUGGAAGUAAUCAAAUCAUCUACAUAUGAUAGUAAAAGAAAGAGAAUAUCUUAUAAGCAAUAUAAAAUAAUAAAACAAAUUGUAAAAAUGAAUAAACUAGACAAACUUACCUCUACCUCCCAAAUAAUUUUGGCAAUACCGUCGAUGUGCAAUGAUAAGACAACAAAUGUAUGUACGAGCAUAUGAUAUAUGACUUUAGAACAUGUAUUGGUUGUGUCUUUGCCUAUGAUAGAUAGACACGGAUAAUAGAUUAAUGUGAUCUAUUUAAAUAAGUGGAUUAAAUAGAUCACAGUAAUCUAUUAAUCUAUUAUCUGUGUCUAUCUAUUUUAUAAAUAGAAAAUAAAUAAAAGAUCAUAUGGAGAAAAGCCAAACCCUUCAUCAAUACAGAGUUAAAAAACUAUUAAAGCCAACUAUUCUCUAAUACCUCUCAAAAAAAAAAAAACUAUUCUCUAAUAUAACUAUUUGGCUCCUCUGUUGAUAAAUUUGAUUUGAUUGUUUUUCAUGAUAGUUUAAAGAUUUUCCGUAAUUAAGGACAUUUGAAUUGAUUUUAAUAUUUUUUGACUAAAUUGGUAAGAUAGUGGUAGUUUAGAGACCAAAUGAAGGGUUUAUUAUGACAACUAGUCUAAAUUGACAAAAAGGAGUACUGGCCUUAACGCGAAUGGACCGGACCAGCAGCAUCUGCCGGACGGAAGUGGUUAUGGUGCAUAAGGAUUUCCUUAUGCACCGUGCAUAAUUGCUUCUUACACCCCAAUCCAUUUUGUCAUACACCCCCCUCCCAUCAAACCAAACGAAAGCCCAUUUUCAUUUCUCUCCAAAACCAACCGAAAACAACACUCUCCAAAAGCCCAUUUUCACUAAGAACAUUUGACGGCGUCGUUUUUGCCUUUCUCUGGCUUUGUGAUUCUGAAACCAAUAGAAAACAUUUUUGCCUUCAAUUUUUCCAAUUUUUCUAAGCUGGGCAGUGAUUUGUUGGAUUUGCUCAGCAGAAGGUGUUCUUGUUCCUCUUCUAUACAAUUCUUCCACUGCUGCAGAUGGAUUAUUAUUAUUAUUCAACUCUGAUCUCUUGCUAUGAUCUCCUACUGAUGCUAUAAAACAUCAUCAUGACACUUUUAGUUUACACAUACAUACAUAUGGUAAGUGUAAAUAAGAAGAGAAAAGAGUAUAUACCUUGCUGCUGCAGAUUGUGAUGAUAUUGUGAAAAUAAAUCAUUGCCACCAUGAAUGCGGUUUAAGGAAGGAGUUAUAGUUGAAGUGUUGUUAGGAGAAGUAGUAGGGACUGGGAUUGGGACUGGUCUUGACAUGAGAGGCCUUAGUUUCCUUCCACAUAAUGGAUAAUCAGCCAUGUUGAACUCACCACCUUCACUGUAACCCACCAUCCACAUGUUGUCAACUAGGCCUUUUCUCACUAAAAGGCUAAUUAUAAAUAGUAGAACGAAUGAAGUUACUUAGCUAUAAACACUGUGUUAUAAGUUUGUAAUAAUGAUUUUAUCGGAAAUAUUUUGAUAUGAUCUAGUGGAAAUCAUUCAUUUCACAUUCUUUAUUGUUACAAAACCAUUAGACCAUUAGUUUGGUUUCACAUAGAACACUAUCAAAACCAUUAGACCAUACUUAUGGUUUCAGUAAUAUUUUUUACUUAAAACCAUUUAAAAAUAAUGAUUUUCAUGUUAUAAGUUUGUAAUAAUGAUUUUAUCGGGAAUAUUUUGAUAUGAUGUAAUGGAAAUCAUUCAUUUCACAUUCUUUAUUGUUACAAAACCAUUAGACCAUUAGUUUGGUUUCACAUAGAACAGUAUCAAAACCAUUAGACCAUACUUAUGGUUUCAGUAAUAUUUUUUACUUAAAACCAUUUAAAAAUAAUGAUUUUUAUGUUAUAAGUUUGUAAUAAUGAUUUUAUCGGGAAUAUUUUGAUAUGAUCUAGUGGAAAUCAUUCAUUUCACAUUCUUUAUUGUUACAAAACCAUUAGACCAUUAGUUUGGUUUCACAUAGAACACUAUCAAAACCAUUAGACCAUACUUAUGGUUUCACAUAGAACACUAUCAAAACCAUUACACCCUUAUCUUGGUUUUACAUACAAAACUAUCAAAACCAUUAAACCAUACUUAUGGUUUCACAUAGAACACUAUCAAAACCAUUACACCAUACUUAUGGUUUCACAUAGAACACUAUCAAAACCAUUAAACCAUACUUAUGGUUUCACAUAGAACACUAUCAAAAUCAUUAGACCAUACUUAUUUCUUACUAUCAGAAUUCAGAGCCAUAAAAAUCAAGCACAAGGCCACAUUCCUUGGUAACAUGUUUUGGAUUAUCUGAUGAACUAAUCUGUUUCUUGUCAUGCCGACAAACACUGAUCCAUUUCACAUGAACAUUGUUAUCAUGGUUUUUGGGUGCCAAGCCAUUAAUUGGACUUGAACCUUUCGACCGUUGAUAUCUCUCUUUUUUCUUGGGAAGGGUAAAAGGAGAAAAACUCUUAAAAAGUUCUAGAUUCGGGGGUCGUUUUCACUACGGGAAGGUGUUAGGCACCUGGAGCGAUUAUGGUAUUCCAUAAGAACCGUUCUCCUAAGUUUAUUUCUACGCUUUAGUUUUAUUGCUUAUUUGUAAAAAGAAGGUAUGAUUAGUGAAGAAUGGGGGUGAGAAGAAGUAGAAUUUGAUUUUUAUUUCGGCUUGGAGGGGUUAAAGUCCCUUGCCUACGUACCGUUUUAAGGGAUCAAAACCGAUCGUAGUUCAUUCUCAAAAAAUAGUUUUUGUUUUUGUUGGUUGAUUUUAAGUUUGAAAAGAGAUUUUGAAGAAUAGAGAUGAGAGGCCUCGAGGGCAUGAGAUUUGAAAAAAAAGUGAGGUGGAGUUAGCUUUUUCAAAAUGAAGUCCAAGUAUAGUUAAAAUUUAUUAGAAAUUUUAUUUAAGAAAAUAAAAGGGAAAUAAGGAGUUUUGACUCCUAUUUUAUUUUCAAAAAGGUUUUCAAGCGAGGUUAUUUGCAUGUUUUGGGAAAAAGUUGGAUUUUUCUCUAAGUGUUUAAACCUAAGCAUUCAUCUAAACAUGCAAUCCUAGCCAUACAUCUAGGGUGAGUGUGUGCGUGCCGGUGCGUCAUAGUGUCCAUAAUCCAUAUUACAAAAAUUACCUAAAUACAUUCUAUGGCCCCUUUGCCAAGCUACAAACCAAUGAUAACAAAUUACACCACCAAAUGAAUUAAAACUUGCAAAAAUAAAUGCUAGGCUAAAGGAAGUGAAGGGGGUGGUGGAAUGCUAUGAAAAUGUAUGACACAUGAGAUGAAAUGGUUAGUAAUCACAAAGCACAAAAUAGUAGGAAAUAAACAAAAAGAAAUUGCAUAGGAAAAGCAAAAGAAAGUUAUAAAGUGGUAACAAACCUAAAAAAUUUGAUAUGAUACUUAAAGGUACUUGUAACCCAUAAUCCUCACAUCAUAGCAAUUUUGAAAGAGAUUUUGUUUCAAGCCAUGACAUGAAAUUAAUGGAGACACAUGCAAGCAAAGUAUCACACCAAAUUCAUAGAGAAAUUUGACACUUUAUUUCUUUAAAACGAACACUUGUUGCUUGUAAAACAAGAAAUCCAUAAAAUCAUAUCCAAAAACAGCAAAAAGAAGCCAUGUCCAGAGGCAUAUUCAUCACAAGAUAGGGUAUCAUUUAUUCAUAACACAUACCAAAGUAUCAAGAACAAAAAACAUAGCAAAAAGUAUACCAAAAGUGUAAAGAUACAUGGAGAUUAGUUCAUGCCAUUUUACCAUUUUUUUACAUGCAAAAAUACCAUAGAAAUACCAAAAAUACAUCAAGAAACAACUAGGAUUUUUUAGGAAUUUUUUGUGAAAAAGGUAAGCAAGCAACAGGUUCAGAUAGCAAGAAAGGCAGUGCAAAUAGCAAGAAGAAACUAAAAACGUAAAAGAAAACUUAAGCCCAAACCAAAACCCAAUACAGACUGGGCCUGGAUCAUCCAAAGGCCUCAGAGGCGUUGGAUUGAUCCAGAUUCAGAUCUGACGGUUCAAAACACACAGCGCAUGGCAACGUAGAUCAAGCACAUGGUAACAACGCAUCACAACCAUUCAAAAGAGAAAACCCUAGAUCCUACGGUUCAAGAUGAAAACGAAAUAAACCGGACCGGUUCAAGCGUCUAUAUAAGGACGUGGACACCGGUCCAGUCCAUUUCUUUCAUCUCUUUCUCUCUCUAAGCUUCCCUCUCCUCUCGCCUCUCUCUAGAACCUCGCCGCCGGUGAGGAUGAAGUGACGGCGGAGACCUUGAAGGUCCGCCGGAAUCUUCAUCUUCUCCGGCGAGCUCAAGCAGUUUCCGGUGAAAAAUUUCCAGAACUUAAAGAUUUUUACAUCUUUUAAUUCGUCCUUUAACCCUAAACACGAAUCCAGCAAUUAUUUUCUCAAACACAGCUUGAUACGAUGUAGAUCUGAAAAUUUCAUACGGUUUUGAAAUUGAUUUUCUUUGAUCUUUUUUGAAAGAAAAGGUUUAGAUCUUUACGGAUCUACAUCAUUUCGUUGUUUACUACUUCCCUGGUGCUUGUUCUUGUUUUCCAAAACUUAGAUCCUUAUGGAUCUAGGUUUCGUGUUUACGGUUAUGGUUUUCUUUGAAUUCUGGAAAUUUUGAUAUGCUUGCUCGCGUGAUUUUACAGGUUUAACUGUGAUUAUAAACUUUUCAAAAGAGGAAAAUGAGUUUUACCUGAAGUUUUGGUUGAAACUUUUGAUGGAGGAAAAUCUUUGGAAAUCUUGAAUGUUCUUGAUGAUUUUUUGAUCUUCUCUGGACCGAAAAUAAAUCGGUUUACCGGUUCUGUUUCUUCAUCUUCUCCGAUUCUUUCUCUACUUCUCUCUCUGUGAUUACGUGCUUGAGCUUGCUUCUUAGAUUUGCGUGAGGAAACCCUGUGAUCAGUGCUUGAGCUUGCUUCAAUGUGAGCUCGCACUUGGAAUUACAGGAGAAUUUUCAAUCCAGUGAUGAAGAUUCACACGAAUCUCUGAGGAUUGAUGCAAAAAUCAAUGAAAUCGUGUAUGAAUUUUGGUUCUGGAAAUUUUUAGGGUUCUUGUGUUCUUGAUGAAUUUGAUGAUUUUGAUCUGUAACUGAAAGGAGAGAGAUUGUGGUUUCUGUUUGUGAUGUGGCGUGUAAUUAAUGGGUCUGUGUGGCACUGCACACCUUUUAUAGCUUGACAUGUGUGCUUCUGAACCAAUGAGAAAGUGACACCUGGACCUGGGAAAAAAAAAUGGCACGGCCUUGGCAAACUUGGCUUCUGGACCUUUCUGCAAAAAUCAAGAAUUUGGGGACUAAACUGCAAAAUUAAUCACAAAAAAAGGCUUGAAAUGAAAUUUAAAAAACAGUAUGGACAAAAUGCAAUUUUGGGACCUCAAUUGAGGGACCAAAAUGCAAUUAAAAAUAAAAUUGAGUAAAAACGUAAUUUGACCAAAAGUAAAGCGAAACAAAAAAUAAAACUGACAAAAUGGACUAAAACGAACCAAUGGCCUAAAUGAGGUACUUCAAAGUAACCUCUCUAUGCCAAAAUUUUGUGUGAAAUGACCAAAAUGCCCCUAGGGCUAAAAUUGACCUAAACAGAUUCAAAUUGACUUGACACUGACUCAGAUGCAAGUUUGAAAUGAAUUUAACAAGGUUUACUGAUGAAAUGUAAAAAAAACAAUCUGAAGAGACUCAGAGACAGUCACAAGGAUGAAAAUGGGUCCCACUGCGGGAAAUGACCAAAAUACCCUUCUGUAUGACUUUUUGUAAAUUUUGAAAUAAACUGUAGAAAAAGCAAUGUAAUGAUUCAGAGACACUCUUGAAUGACUUACAAGACAAGUAAAGACAUUUCGAAAGGUUUUAUGCAUGAAAAACAUAGGUAAAAUUGUGAUUGAAAACACUGCGUGGCAGAGACAAUUUGAACUGUGCAGUUGAAAUUUAAUAAUUGGCAAAGUUUGAAAUGAAAUUGGGCCCAGUAUUUUUAGGUCCAAAAAUAGGGUAUAACAAACAUGAUAAAGACCAUAGAUGGUAUGGGCAAGUGGGCAAUGGUUGAUGGGCUAAUAAGAAAAAUGUGAACCAAGACAAAAAGAGAGUGUGUGGCCAAACUGGAUGGAGUAAUGGCGGUUCUAUAAGCAACUAGGUGCAUUGCUUCAGGCCACCAAGCACCAUCACACUCUAUUGUUAAUCUUCUCUUACAUGGUGUCUCAAUGAGUAAUCUUUUCUUUUUUAUUUCUAAAUAAAAAAGAAAAGCAGAGAAGCAUAGGGUAUUCAUGGUCACCUCCAUAACAAGUUCGACCAGGUUAGAAGCACUUUUGAGUACACUAACAAUAUGCAAAAGUUCUUCUCUUCGAUCCAAAUUCACGAUAUUUAAUUUCAGAUACUUUAAGCUUAUCAGCUGUGAUGGAUGAAUGAUAUCUGCAUAUAACAUCUAUGCAUACAAACAACAAAGUUGUGAGAUAUAUUCAUACAACACUUCAAAUGGAAAUAACACAACUUUCAAUGUAAAUAUUGGAUUGGAUCAUGAAUCAAAUUAACUGACCUUGGAGUCUAAUCCCACAGUAAGUCUCUGAAUUUUUGGCAAAAUAUUAUUCAAACCAGAUAUCCCAUCCCGAUAAACUAUCAGUGUAAGAUCAAUUAGAUUCUUUGCUUUCUCCAAACAAAUUGACUUGAUGGCAUGAUUACAUUUACAUUGUAUGCGGAAGACCGUGAGAGUAGGAGCAGAUAAAUCAACACAUUCAUAACCAGAACAUUGUACAGUGUAGAGCUCUUGAAGUAAUGAGCAGCCAAAAAUAAGACUCAAGUGGACCAAACUCAAAUCUAAUGCAUUCUAAAUGAAGGUGCAACAAACAUUUAAAGCCACAUAAAUUAGGCGGAACUAAGAACUUAAAUUUGCAAAUUCAAACGUGAGUCAAUUCUUGACAAGAGAAGAGAUGAGAUGGCAUGCGAUAGAUAUAAUAUCUAUCGUUCACAAGCUGAAUAUUUUUAACACCUUUCCUUGACGAAAACAUAACCCACCUAAUGAGAUAUCCAGAUUUGAAACCCAAAAAGUUAGAAGUGAUGAAAAGUAUAAACUUAUAUAUCGGUCCAUUGUGGAGGAAAAGAACUUCCGUGAUAAUUCUUGAAACAUCAAGGGCUUCAAGAUCCUUGUACUUGCAAAAAAAAUCUUGACAAAACUCAAGUCGUGGGACUGUAAUCCACAUAUACCUCCACUUUCUAGACAGAACACUAGUCCUCACUAGGUCUCGGGCGUUCAAGUGUUCUAGGAUGCCAUCGAUGACAUUACUUGGUAAGUCACUGAUUCGAUCAAUGUGAUCACCGCAAUUGGCCUUCUUCGUGAACAGAGUCAUCAGUGAACUACAAAUUCAAGCAAAAGAGUAAAUUGAUCCUUUACAUAUCAUAUAUCAGAAAUUGAUCCUUAUCCAUAAGAGAAGCUAAAUUGAUCCUAAUAUCAACAAUUGAAUCAAAAAUUUGAAUCACUACGAACAGAAACCAUUAACAAAAAUUCUUAAUUUAAAUCAAAAAUUUAGCUUCUCAUGGCACAUUAACAAAUCACUAAGAACAAAAACCAUCAUAAGAGAACAGAAGAGAAGCUAAAUUAAUCCUAAUAUCAACAAUUGAAUCAAAAAUUUGAAUCACUAAGAACAGAAACUAUUAACAAAAAUUCUUAAUUUAAAUCAAAAAUUUAGCUUCUCAUGGCACAUUAACAAAUCACUAAGAACAAAAACCAUCAUAAGAGAACAAAAGAGAAGCUAAAUUGAUCCUAAUAUCAACAAUUGAAUCAAAAAUUUGAAUCACUGAGAACAAAAAUCAUUAACAAAUCAGAAAUUUGAAUCAAAACCUAAAUCAUAUACAUGAUUACGAAAUCCCGUCAGAGUGCGAGCAAGGAGUGAAAUCCGUGCAAAUUGCACAAGAAGAUUGAGCACGUCGUCGUAAAAUGGAAGAGGUGAUCUCGCCGUCGCCGUGAAUGGAAGAGAUUGAGCACGUAAUGGAAGAGGUAAAAUGGAGUCAAAUCACGUCGACGUGAUCUCGCCGGUGAAACCACGUUGGAGCGGAGAGAAAGGGUGAGCACGUCGGAGCGGUGAGAAAGGGUUGCGGCGAGAAAGGGUGAGCACGUCGGAGCGGUGAGACCGUCGGAGCAGUGAAAGUGUGAGCUGAGAGUGUGUGCAAUCAGAUUGUGAAAGUGUGAGCUGAGAACCCUAGGAUUAUUACAAGAUCCGAUGGUUGUAAAGUCUUUAUGCAUGGUGCAUAAGGAAAUCCUUAUGCACCAUAACUUUUGCCCUGCCGGACAUGUGCUGCAAAUAUUACCGAAUUCAAUGCAUUUAAUGGAGUGUAUUGGAUUAAGAUUUUAAAAUACUAUUUUAAUAAAAACAAGUCUUUGAGAUUUUAAAAGAGUUUGUGAGAUUGUAUCGAUUUUGUGAGAUUUUAAAAGAAUUUUUAUGUAAAAGAUUUUAUACACUCAAGAUUUUAAUGGAUUUAUCACACUGACUUUUAAAGAUUUUAAAAUUUCAAAGGAUUCAAUGAAUUUUAGGGGAAAAAGAACAAAUUUACAACCGUGAAUGAUAAAAUUAGUAAAAAAAUAAAGUCUAGCGUUUGGAAAGAAAAAAAAAAAACAAUAGAAAAUUCUUUUACUAUUGACUUUAAAAUUUUAAAGAUUUUAAGAAUUUUUAAAAGACUUUUUAAAAUCAAGAUUCUAUAAUUUGGAUUUUAAUUCAAAGACUUUUAAGAUUUUAAAGGACUUUAUUGAUUUAUAAAACAUGAAAUGACUCUGUAUUUUUAUCUAAUCCAUUGAACAAAUUUUCAAACUACUGUUCAUAAAUUUUUUAGUUUCUAUCUCUUAUUCCAGUUGGCAUUCUUCAAUGGAUUACAAUAAUCCUUGUUGUCGUUGCCUCAGCUAGCUUUGUUGCUUUGAACCUAAGGUCUUUUAUAGGAAAUAAUCUUGCAGUGGCCAUAAUUGCAGCAAUUUAUCUCGAGCCACCAUUAUCAAUACCACACACCAAUGGCUAGUUAUAUGUUGUUUGUGUUUUAUUGUUAGAUGGAUGCAAAGAGUUAACAACGUAAUGUGAAUUGUGAUCGACCAAUAUUUG
rnacentral:lncRNA from 1 species